CCUACGGGUGGCUGCAGUGAGGAAUAUUGGUCAAUGGACGAGAGUCUGAACCAGCCAAGUAGCGUGAAGGAUGACUGCCCUAUGGGUUGUAAACUUCUUUUAUAGGGGAAUAAAACGAUCCACGUGUGGGAUUUUGUAUGUACCAUAUGAAUAAGGAUCGGCUAACUCCGUGCCAGCAGCCGCGGUAAUACGGAGGAUCCGAGCGUUAUACGGAUUUAUUGGGUUUAAAGGGAGCGUAGGUGGAUUGUUAAGUCAGUUGUGAAAUUUUGCGGCUCAACCGUAAAAUUGCAGUUGAAACUGGCAGUCUUGCUUACUGUAGAGGUAGGCGCACUUCGUCGUGUAGCUGU
rnacentral:rRNA from 1 species